UACGUAGGGGGCGAGCGUUGUCCGGAUUUAUUGGGCGUAAAGAGCUCGUAGGUGGUUUGGUAAGUCGGAUGUGAAAUCUCCAGGCUCAACCUGGAGGGGUCAUUCGAUACUGCCAUGACUAGAGUUCGGUAGGGGAGUGUGGAAUUCCUGGUGGAGCGGUGAAAUGCGCAGAUAUCAGGAAGAACACCCGUGGCGAAGGCGGUUCUCUGGGACGGUACUGACGCUGAGACGCGAAAGCGUGGGGAGCGAACAGG
rnacentral:rRNA from 1 species